ensembl:lincRNA
AUUCUUGCACUGAAGACUGUGAUGCAUCUUGAUUCUUUUUUCUGAAGACUAGCCACAAGCUAAUGGAGCUGUUUUGCCCUCAAAAGGAAGAGAGAGUGGCUGUGGCUGGGAGUUUUAUGUUCAAUCCACCUCAUCCAACUUGGAAAGUCAGCUUCUUCCUUCAAAUAAGGGAGGUGAAUUUUGAGACUAUCCUUGGACUGCAAUUUAAGCUUGAGACAAAGGAAAUUGAUUGUGUUAUCUCUUUGUAACCCAAACACCUGUAAAUCUACUUCACCAAGCUUUGACAGUAUCUGAACACUUAUUGAUCUUAAAAUGGUACAAAAACCUUUACUUGUUUGCCAGUCAACAAAGGUUAGUAAGUAGUUAAUAUAAAUUUAAUAUUCUAAAGAAAAUGUGCACUUCUCGUAAACUUACACUUCCUAAUCUACUUCCCAGAUAACCAAAUCACUUUACUUUUUAUUCUGGAGAGGAAGUGAGUGGGACACAGAUGGUUUGACAUAUCAUUACGCCUUUUUUGUUGGGGUAGUCUUCAGUUUCACAUUUUUCUUCCGUCCUUCAUUUUUAUUCAAUUAUCUAACAAAUAAUUACUCUGUGCCUAACAUGUACUGGCUCUGGAGCUAUGAUUGUGAAUGAGAUAAACAUAGUUCAUGCUCUUGCAGAGCUUACAGAUUAGUGGAGAAAAUUCUCAAAAGGCACUAAUUAUAUAAUGCCAUGAUUGCUUUAAUGGGGCUAGUAUAGUGCAUAGUGGAAGCAGCUAUGUGGAACACAACCAUAGCUGACAAGGGAAAAUGGGCAAGGAAAACUUCUUGGGAAAAGGACAUCCAAGCUACAAUUUAAAAUACAGGUAGGAAUUAGCUAGGAAAAGCAGCUGAAAUAUCAUGUUCAAAGCAAGAUCAAAGACAGGAUAGUGGCUUCAGAUAAAUCCAAGUUGUUGAAAGGAGCUAGCUAAGAUAGUGGGUGAAAAGUGUGAUGCAAAGUCUAGGCCAAAUUCUAUACAAGGUUGGGAAUCAUUUAAAGCAUUUAGGCUGAAUCCUGAAAGAGGGACCACUGAAGUUUUGCAGGAAGAGAAAGAAGCAGUGAGUUUUAAAUGCAUUAACCAGAUUGGAGGAGGGCUAAACAAAGUAUUCUUGUAAUAAUCCAAGAGAGAGAUGAUGAAAGACUAAACUAAAAAGGUGUUAAUCGUGUUUAAACACUAGAACUGACAUGUUAGAGAUGAUAGAUUGAAUGGGCAAAUAAAUGAAAAGAAGGUUGCAAGGAUGGGCCUCUGGUUUCUAAUUCAGAAAAUAUAUAAUAUCUGAUGUUUUCCCCUAAGAUGAGAAACAUAAAUUCAUCUUUGAACAUGUAAAAUUUGAGCAAUGUGUGACAUAGAGUUGCCAACCGACUUUUAGAUACGUAACACAGAAUCAGGAGAGGUGUGGCCUAAAAUAUAUUGACUUGGGAAAGUAAAUGAUUGAAAGAGUAAGGAUGGUCUCAAACAAUGUAGUAUCUUGAGAGAUAGAAGCUUUUUGGUUUCAUGGAAGAAGGAGGGGUGGGGAAAAGAGAGAGAGAGAUUGAAAAUAAAAAAGAGAGGAUAAACUCAGGAUUAAGCUCCCUGAGAAGGCUAGGCAACAUAGAAUAGAGAUCACAAGUAGAAGAUAUAGCAGCCUUCAAAUUGAAGGAUACUUCUGCCAUUUUAACAGGAGGGAAGGAAAAAGGGAUGAUUAUAGAGAUACUUGUGGAGUGAUAUCAGGAAGUUGAAUGCUAUAGUUUAGAUAUGUGUCCCCGUCCAAAUCUCAUGUUGAAUAUAAUCCCCAGUAUUGAAGGCAGUGCCUUGUGGGAGGUGAUUGGAUCGUGGGGGCGGAUUUCUCGUGAAUGGUUUAGCACCAUUCUCUUGGCACUGUCCUCAUGAUGUUAAGUUCUUGCAAGAUCUAGCUGCUUAGAAGUGUGUCCCCUUGCUAGCCCUCUCUCGCUCUUGCUUUCACCAUUUGAUGUGCCUGUUACCCCUUCACCUUCUGCCAUAAGUUUCCUGAGGCCUCCCCAGAAGCCAAACGGAUGCCAGCAUCAUGUUUUCUGUACAGCCUGCAGCACCAUGAGCCAAUUAAACCUCUUUUCUUUGUAAAUUACCCAGUUUCAGGUAUUUAUUUAUAAUGAUGCAAGAAUGGCCUAAUACAUUGAGCAAGUCCUAUUUCCUCUUAUUUGUAGAAACCACUGACUGAGCACUCUGAAGGAGAGUUAAAGGUUUUAAGAGAAUGAAGAAAAUUUCAAACGUUCACUAAGGAGAACGGGCAAAAGAGUUGACUAAGAAAAUAGAAAAGGAUACCAAGAAAUCAUUGAAGAAGAGAUUAAAGUUAGAGGACAUUAUUUUGUAUUUGUAUAAAUGUGCAUGUUUCCUCAAUUUUUCUCCAGCACAUACAUUACUCUGGGCAUGAGCACAGAAAGCAAGACAAUUGCCAGGAGAAUGUAAUGAAAAAUGAGUUGAAACACUGAAAAAGAUAAAGUACAUAAGUGGAAUAUGAACAGAUUAGGGAAUAAAAUAAAGAAGAUGAGUGGGCUGUGGAAAUAAAAGGAAUCACAAAACUAGAGGCUUAAUGAAGUUAAAGAACAUGUGGACUAGGAAAACCAAGAUGGUUGAAAAGACAGCAGAUUGUGAACACACAAAAAAUUCUGAGCUUAAAUUGUCAGCAGCAGUAAAGCAAUAUCAAGUAAUGAGAAUUCCAGCUGUGAGGCUGUAUGAGUGAUUUGCUGGAGAGGCACAGAAUUAUAGGUCAAUGGAGAUAAAGUCAUCCAUAAACUACAAACAAGGGAGUUGAAGGAGCCAUCCAGGGACAUUUAGAAAUGUGGUUUAGUCAAAUGGCAUGAAACUUUCAGAAAUAAAGGUAUGAAUACAUUAUGUUAAAUGUCAUAAAAACACCACUGUUAUGGUAUGAAACAACUUCACAAUUUCUAAAGGCUUAUUUUUCAUGCUUUAUACUUGAUGACUUGAUAUUAGCUUGUGGUUAAUAAUUUGUAACAAAUAUAACAUGAAUAAAGAUGCAACAUAAACUAGGUAAGUUCUAUAAACUGAAUAGAACAUGGAAAAUUAGUACACACAGUGCUAUGGGGUGAUGACAAACUGAAAGCAAGUGUUAUUGUUUUUGUUUUGUUUCGUAUUGUUUUGUUUUGUUUUGUAUUGUUUUGUUUUGUUUUGUGACGGGGUCUCUCUCUGUUGCCCAGGCUGGAGUGCAGUGGCACCAUCUCCGCUCACUGCAAGCUGCGCCUCAUGGGUUCACGCCAUUCUUCUGCCUCAGCCUGCCGAGUAGCUGGGACUACAGGCACCCGCCACUCCGCCCAGCUAAUUUUUUUGUAUUUUUAGUAGAGACAGGGUUUCACCGUGUUAGCCAGGAUGGUCUCCAUGUCCUGACCUCGUGAUCCGCCCGCCUCGGCCUCCCAAAGUGCUGGGAUUACAGGCGUGAGCCACCGUGCCUGGCGAAAUCAAGUUUUAUAAUGAUGUUUUCAAUUUGUAUAAUAAAUAUUUCCGAGUAUUAACAUUUUAUCUUUCAUACUUUUUCAAAUGUAGGUCUUUUAAUACUCCAAUUAAGAUUUUCUUAUUACCUGAGGAAAGAAGUGAUUAUUAGCAUGGCAAAAAACAAGGAAUAGAGUAUGUUUUGAAAACUGUCAUGUUGAAGAUUUAUUUCUAUGUGCAUUAUUUUUCUGUAAACAUGUAAACAGAUAG